AUGCCAAAAGGACCCUACAGGCACCCCAAUCAUGCUACCAACAAACAUGAAGUGCUCACUCCACAAAACCAGCAGGAAAAUGUUGCCAGACAAAUGCUAACAGUUGGGGAACUACCUGAAGAAGCAGUUUUCAGAAGAGAAACUGUUAGAAACAGACCUCAUACACCUGAUGUCAGAAGAAACAUUCUCUCUGUCAAACCUGCAAAACUGAACAUUGCUGAAUUUGAGGGAAGUGAUGCUGAUUCUUGGAUACAAAAUGUAGAACAGUACUUCUCAUCUGCCAGAACUCCUAUUGAGCAAAGGACAGAAAUUGCUGUCUCAUACCUGAAAGGAGAAGCAAUGCAGUGGUGGAGAGGGACUGGGUUUUUGGUACACAAUAUGCCCUGGCAUAGAUUCUGCCAACAUCUGACUGAAAGAUUUGCCACCACUUCCAUUUGUGAGAAUGUGAAAGCCUUUCACCAACUGUCACAGACUGGUACUGUAGCACAGUACAUCACCUCAUUUGACCAGCAAAUGAACUUAAUGAGAAGGGAUAAUCCUGCACUCCCAGAUGAUUACUACAUGCAUAGUUUCAUUUCUGGGGUGCACCCUUACAUUCAAAGCCACCUAGAAUGUUUGGAGCCAACAACUUUACAAAAAGCAAUGUGGUUUGCUAGGAGAAUGGAGAAAUCUGUUCCUCCUCCUCCUACCUCCAGGUUUGUUACCCCCUACAAGAAACAGACAGUUGUGGAGCCUGCAAAACAACACACACCAAGCAACAAUACUGUUGCCAUUGUCAUUCAGCAAGCAAGAGAGAAGGGGAUUUGCUAUAAGUGCAGGGAACCUUGGUUCCCAGGACAUAAACAGGUUUGUAAGAUGUCACAGAAAGCACAGAUCCAAGCAUUACAACAACAAGCUCAAGAAAAUCCUGAAGUGAUAUAUAUUGUGGAUGCUGAGGAAGAACAUUCAGAAAAUGAAGAGGAAGAUUCAGACAAUGCUCAGUUGAAAAUCUCCAUGCAUGCUGCUAAAGGACAACCUGAGGAUAAGCCUACACAUACCUUCUCUUUACUAGUACAACUUGGCACAGUACUACUGCUCUGGCACUAG
rnacentral:rRNA from 1 species